GACGAACGCUGGCGGCGUGCUUAACACAUGCAAGUCGAACGGAAAGGCCCUGCUUUUGUGGGGUGCUCGAUUGGCGAACGGGUGAGUAACACGCGAGUAACCUGCCCUUGACUUUGGGAUAACUUCAGGAAACUGGGGCUAAUACCGCAUAGGAGCUCCUGCUGCGUGGUGGGGGUUGGAAAGAUUCGGCGGUUGGGGAUGGACUCGCGGCUUAUCAGCUUGUUGGUGGGGUAGUGGCUUACCAAGGCUUUGACGGAUAGCCGACCUGAGAGGCUUACCGGGCACAUUGGGCCUGAGAUACGGAGCAGACUCCUACGGGAGGCAGCAGGGGGGAAUAUUGCGCAAUGGGCGGAAGCCAGAUGCAGCAGCGCCGCGUGCGGGAUGACGGGCUUCGGGUUGUGAACCGAUUUGGCCUGUGACGAAGCGUGAGUGACGGUAAUGGGUAAAGAAGCACCGGCUAACUACGUG
rnacentral:rRNA from 1 species